rnacentral:lncRNA from 1 species
ACAACUGAAUUACCAAUCUUUAUUAUUAUUGCAACAAACACACGGAUUACACUAAAAGCUAGUGAAUCAUACACUUGCAGAUGACUUAUCCAAACACAAAGAUAAGACAUGAGUUUAUUAUUAUUGCUAUAAACACACGGAUUACAGCGAAAUUCAAAAACUAAAAACAAGGAAAAAAGUAGUGAUGAAAACCAAUGCCACUUUCGCGGGGAACACGAUUGCAUUCGCACAUGCAACAAGCCUUUUAAACCCAUAGGUGACCCAAAUGGGACGAGUGAAGUCUCGUGAGGGUUUCCAGAGACGUUUCCCACAAACAUCAUGCAUACUGAUCAUCAACAUCUGACUUGGGAGACUGAGUAGAUAUCCACCCCUCCAGCAUCAGGUGUUUUUUGGUUGAGGCGUAAUUCGAAUCUGUUUUCAAUGAAUGGCCUGGUUAAGAGGUCGCUUUGCAAGUGACGUAAUCGGCAACGCGUGAUUAGGUUGUUGCUGUCAGGUGGUCCGACAUGCUCGACCUUGAAUAAUGUGCAAGCCCAAUUGUCUUUGGUUUCGUUUCGGUCAGCAGCUGCGGCCAGGACCAAUAGCCUGUUUUGGUCCACCCUUCUCAAGUAGUUGCCGUUGUAGGAGCAUUUGAUAUGCACGUAAUUCUUGUCAGCAUAGUCCUCAUUAUUUGGCUUCUCGGUGGUGAACUUUAUGAACCUACUAUUUUCAUUGUCCUCAGAAAACUGGACAAUCUCAUGAAGGUCACUUUCUGAAUCAAGUUGAUAGCGCAAAUACUUGUUGUUGAUAUCUGCUUUCAGCAGAAAAGGGCUUGGUAGUACAGGUGGAGCCAUAUCGUAUAGUGUAGUUGGGAUUGGGAUGGUCUCUCUUUUUUGUUGUCUGUUGAUGAUCUAAUUUGCUUGCUGUGAAUGUGAUGCUUAGUUCAAACCUGCUAUCCUAUUUAUAAGAAAAUAAGAACAAGCUAGUUCAAGUUAUGGUCUUUAAUUAAUAUUAAUUCCGACAAAUCAGUUUCCCAUCUCUUUCAUUGAUAUGAACAUGGCUGAUCUCAUUGGUAUGGCGCAAUAUUAUUUGUUAAAUUUGCUGUUCGGGUUGAUUUCUUUGUGUAACUCUUCUGCCAAUUCUGCAACUUGUAGACUUAAUUCCCAUUACAAAAUUAAAAAAAAAUAAAAUCCAAAACUAAUGUAAGAUAAAUAAAGACUUUUUAUAUCAUAAAAUAAGACUUUCUAACUUGUUUACAAGACUAUAGUGACAAGAUCAAACACAUUGAUGGGUGAGCAUUUUCCAUCAACAUCUGUUCUGUGCGUUUAAACUGAGCGUGGAGUCUUUUUUAGCAAUUAAAAGUUUUAUAUCAUGUAAUUGACUUGGUUUGAUAAGACCUACAUCUAGAUGACUUGGUUCUGAAGACUAAUGUAAAACCUUAUGUUGAUAUUUCUUGAGGGUGAAACAUCAUUUGAGAAUCGUUUUGGGUCUCAUUACAAUUUUUUUCAUUUAUUUUUUAAGUUUCGGCUUAAAUAUUCUACAAAAUACAUUUGUGGAUUUAAUAACAGGUAAAACCACUUUCAAAUACUUGUGAAGUUUUUCUUGACGUCACGGAAAUUUUUUUACGAAAUUGAAACACAUUUGCAUUUUUCACAAAAAAUGGGGUUUGUCAGUUUUGUAAAUUUGUAUAAAAAUCUUCAUUAAGUCCAUUUGUUUUCACAUUCACCUUACCAUGAGGCACUUAAAUUAAAUUUAUAACUUUCCAUCGAUACUUGAGUAUAGACCCUUGUUAAGGCAAAGAAUUGGACUUCACAACAAUUGUUUUAUUUUUUUUAUUUUUUAGGUUUUGGCUGAAAUAUUCUAUUAAAACUAAAUUUGUGGCUCAAUAAUUGGUCAAACUCCUUCCAAAUGCUUUAUAAAUAUAUUGACCUAAUGCUAACGAAAAAUAUUUUGUGAAGAUUAAGGAUUUGGAUUUCUCACAAAAAAUGUGGUUGCUCGCUAUUUUUCCUUAGUUUUGCAAAUUUGUACACAAAUCAUCAUUCAAUCUAUUAGUUUUCAUCUUUGCCUCAGUGUGAUAGUGUGAUGUUUCUAAAAUUAAUGUAAGAGUUUUUGUUCAUAGUCUUGAGUAUAUACUCCGUUUAGGCAAUGUUGGACCUCACCACUGUUUUUUUUUAUAUUAUUUUUUGGGUUUGGAUUAAAGUAUUCUAUUAGAAAUACAUUUAUGGCUCAAUAAUUGGUAGACCACUUUCAGAUGCCCUAUAAAGAUUUUCUUAAUGCUCUUGAAAAAUAGAAAAUUUGUAUUUUUCACACACAAAAACAUGGGCUAACACUAACGAUUUUUAGGUGAUUUUGCAAAUUCGUACAAAAAUAUUUGAUACGACCAAUAUUGCAUACAUUUUAACGCCCUUUAGUUUCGAUUCUUGUUAUGUUUUUGGGUGAAUUUAGUUUGUUUCACUUAGUUUUAUGUUUUUCUUAGAUUUGAAGAGUGAAGAUGAAGAAAGAAGAAAAAUGAGUACUUUUGCGAUUAAAAUGAGUUGGCAUGCUGGAAGCAGAAGCUAUUUGUGCAGAUCAGUCAACUUUACGGAUUAAACUGUACUUCCUCAGAAGGAACCAGCUGUUGAGCCUUAUACCAUUGGAAAGAUAUGGAUGUUAGCUUUCAGAGGAAUUCUACGGACUGUGAUUUCGAGUUUUCUAGACGAUGUUAUGAAGGUUUUCAUACAAGACGUCGGUCAGCCGAGUCCAUGCGGAAAUUGCAAAGUCUGUUGGGUUUUUCGAGUCAUAAUUCAGUCGAAGUCCAAAGCCCAAGAUAGAACGUGCUGAGCUGACUUUAAUCCUAUUUCGAAUGGGUUUGAAGUAAUUAUUUGGGAAGUUUACUUGCCACAUCAUUCAGUUAUGCAAUACAAAGGAUAUCACAAGACCUAAUUAUGUUAGGACUUGUCUACCAUAUAAAGGGGGUUUUUGGGAACGUGCUUUAGGGGGGUCGCAAGAAGGAGCAAAAAGAAGAGCAGCAGCCGCUUUCCAUCUUUCCUAAGUUUUUCAUGUUCUUAAUAUUUUUAAUUAUGUUUUCUUAUUUUAUGAGUAACUAAACUCUUUUUCUAGGGUUAGGAUGAUGCCCUAGCAUGGAUGCAUAUGGUUUUUAAUGUUAUUCAUUGGAUUUCUAGAUUCUUUCAGAUGAAUGUUUAAUCACUGUUUGAAUUGUUACUCUUUGUAUGAGUUCUUUGAUUGAUCACCUUAGGACUUUGCAUCUAGUAAGAUUGGAAGAUGAAUUUGAGGCUGAACUAGCAAUAUAAUUCAAUUAGCUUCUUGUGGUUAACUGUGGUAAAUUACAUUAUUGCUUGACAAAGAAUAAUGGUUUGCUUGGUUCCCUUCUUUUCUAGACUGUAAAGAGUCCUACUUGUUAAAUUUAUACCUUAACCAGGAUCGACUGCAUGUUAGGAUAUACGACCUCUACCUGAACUAGGAGAGAAUCAUUCACUUAAGGAAAACUAUGGUCUAAUGUGCCUGACAAGGACUUAGAUAUGGGAAUUAUCAUCUAAACAAUCGAAAGAUCCAUUGAAUGCAUUGCAACCUAAACUAGAUUGCUUGUGGUUGAUUCCGAAUCCCUAGAUUUUCAUCACUUGCCUUACAACACAACGUUUUUUUUUCUUUAAUUUCAGUUUUUACUUAAGGUUCUGUUUUUGUUCGUUUAUAAAAUCAUCACAACAAAUUCUUCACAUCCUUGAUUGAUUUAUUAAUUAAGAUCGAGUCUAGUUCGUUGUUUGGGGUUGUGUGUCAUUAAUAUUAUUAGAUUUGGUUUGGUUUAUCAAAUUGGAGAUUUAAUUAGAAUCCUCGUGAGAACGAUACUUGGACUUGCAACACGCUAUAUUACGACUAUCUUGUGCGCUUGCAAGUUUUACACCAAUAGUAUCAAAUCUUAAGCCUUUAUAAUUCUUGUUCUAAAUGGACUGUCUGUCAAUCGUACAAGAUUAUAAUCACAUGAUAAACACACUGAUGAGUGUGUAAUUUCCUGCAAUAUCUUCAAAGUGCGAUUAAAAUGAGCGACUGUCGACUUUCAUAAAGUAGUGUGGGUAUCGGUCUUUUAAUAUUGCAAGCUUUUAUAACUCUUGUGCUCACAAUUUGUACAAGUAUAUAAAUGGAUUAACAGACUAACAGUUUGGGUAUAAAUGAAGACUAAAUGAGGGACUUGAUUGUCAACUUGCACAGUACAUAGGUGUGAAGUCUUUAGUUAUAAUUAUAGACUUAAUGUCUAGUUCAUUAAGGUAUUGGUCUCUAAAAGAACUGGAUGUAGAGAACGAAAGUGCAAUCAAAUGAGAAAUAUAUUAGUCUUUCAAAAGCACAUGGCUGCAGAUGUGGAGUCGUCUUUUAUUUAUUUAUUUAUUUGAACAAACAAUUGUAUCUACACUAAGGGGUAGAAGAGUGGGCUAAAUCUUAGAAUGGGCUUACAACAAUAAUGUGGUUCAACUCCACCUUUGACGAUAAUUGAAUCUAAAACUUUUCACUUACAAAUGAAGAGAUAUACCACCAGACCGUAGUACUAAGUAACAUGACAGCAUACGGCUAGAGGCGUGGAGUCUUUGUUAGCAAUUAAAAGUUUUGUAACAAGUAAUUGACUUGGUGUCAUAAGGCCUACAUCUAGAUGACUCGGUUUUUAAAACUAAUGUAAGAGUUUCUGUUGAUAUUUCUUGAGGGUGAAACACCGUUUGAGAAACGUUUUGGGCCUCAUUACAUUUUUUCACUUAUUUUUUAGGUUUCGGCUUAAAUAUUCUACUAUAAAUACAUAUGUGGCUCAACUAUUGGUAAAACCACUUCCAAAUGUCUUGUAAAGAUUUUCUUAAUGUCACGAAAAUAUUUUACGAGAGUUAACACUCAUUGUAUUUUAUUGGUUUUGCAAAUUCUUAUGAAAUCAUCAUUUAGUCCAUUUGUUUUCACAUUCGCCUUAUUGUGAGGUACUUAAAAUUAAUGAAUAACUUUCCCACAUUAAGGCAAGGAUUUGGGCCUCACUACAAUGUUUUUUUUUUCAUUUACAAUUUUUAGGUUUCGAGUUAAAUAUACCAUUAAAACUAAAUCUGUGGCUCAAUAAAUUGUAGAAACUUUUCCAAAUGCAUUACAAAUAUUCUCUUAAUGCUAACAGAAAAUAUUUUGGGAAGAUAAAAGAUCUGCAUUUCUCACAAAAACGUGAUUGCUCACUGUUUUUAGUCGGUUUUGCAAAUUCAUAUAAAAAUCUUCAUUAAAUCUAUUAGUUUUCACCUUUGCCUCACAAUGAUGUUUCUAAAAUUAGUGUAAGACUUUUUUAUGAUACUCUUGAAUAUAGACCCCGUUUAGGCAAUGUUCGGCCUCACUGCUAUUUUUUUACUUAUUUUUUGGGUUUUGGUUUUAAUAUUCUAUUAGAAAUAAUUUGUGACUCAAAAAUUAGUAGAACCAGUUUGAGAUGCCCUAUAAAGAUUUUUUUAAUGCGCACAAAAAAAUAGAAAAUUUGCAAACAUAAAAAACAUUGGUCAUGAUUUUAGGCGAUUUUGCAAAUUCGUACAAGAAUCAUUAUUAAAUAUAUUUUUUUCAACCUUAUCCUCACCAGGAUGCUUUUAAAAUUAGUGUAAUAAUUUCGGUUAAUAUUUCUUGAGAUGAAACCCCAUUUUAGCAAUUUUUUAUGCCCAACUAAUAUGUUUUCAGUUAAUUUUAGGUUUCAACUUAAAUAAUUUAUUAGAAAUGCAUUUGUGGCUCUAUAAUUGGUAGAACAACUUUAAAAUGUCUUAUAAAUAUUUAAUUAAUGUUCAGUAAAAUAUUUUGGGAAAAUAUAAAAUUGCAUUUUAGACAAAAAAAAAAAAGCCACGAUUUUAUACGGUUUUGAAAAUUUGAACAUCGAUAUUUUUACAUUAAGGGGAGGGUGAGUUUGGCUAAGCCACACAAAUGGCAACCCAAUUUGGUAUCAAAUUCGCCAUCCACGAGAUUCGAACCUAAGACCUCCCACUUUCAAGUGGAGAGGAAUACCACCAAACCGUAGUACUGAGUGGCAAAAAAUCAUCAUUAAAUCCACUUGUUUUCACCUUCACCUUUCCAUGAUGUUUUAAAACUAAUGUAAGGCUUUACGUUAAUAUUCUUGAGUACAAGCCCCAAUUUAUGCAAUGUUUUGGGCCUUACUACAACAGCAACACACAACAACAACCAAGCCUUAUGCCAUUAAGUGGGGUCUAAUGUACACCACAAUGAUCGUGUUUGCACCAAAUCUUUCGCCAGCUAGAAAUACUUCAUAUAAUUUCCUAGUCUUUUUCCAAGUCUUCCUAACUUUUCCUCCACCCCUUUUGCCGUGAGCCUCUAUCUCAUAGUCGCCUAUUCUACCAUAGCAUUUGUAGAUAUUCGGUUCAUGUACCCAAACCAUCUCAACCAAUUUUCUUUCAUCUUAUCUUCAAUGGAGACCCCUCCCACUUUACCUGUCAAGCCCCGAUCCCGAAAUUCGUCCAGGAUUGACGUGUGACGUCACCCAUUACAUGUAUUUAUAACAUACCCCGCCUCCGAGAUAUGUACAAGGCACAACUCACAGUCCAACUGCGUAAUAAUUUUUCGUACACUUUAUGGCUGCAUCUAACCUCCACGUUAGACUGCCUACAUACCUUAAACAAGGAUCAAGCCAUUCAUAGUUCGUCUUUCACUACACUUAAACAAUCAUCACGUAAAUCACUAUGUCUCAACAUAAUACCACAAUUCAGAUAUGCAACAUCUCAAGGAACAUUCGACAAAGCACAAUAAUAUUCUCUAGUCAUCUUGCCAUUCACACACACAUAUGCUUCCAAACACCAUUCAAUAAUCACAACAAUCAACAACACAUACAAUACAUCGAAAUGCAGGGUUAGAGCCAUAUAGUUUGGCUGAAGCCUACAUCUCUGAAGCUGAAAUCAAAUCCAAGUAACAAACAAGUCAAAUGAUGCAAUUUCGGACCACUUAACGAAAUCCAUCAACAUCGGGUUCAGAACCACUCUACGAAAUCGCAUAGUAGAAGGGAUUUUGAAACUCUCAACGAAAUAAUAGUGGAUACGAUCCCGGACCAUCAUUUAAUGGAAUCAUGGAUUAUAAGGGAUUUCAGACCAUCACUUAAUGGAAUUGAAGUGGAUAUGAUUCUGAGCCAUCAUACAAUGGAAUUGCGGAUUAGAAGGGAUUUCGAACCAUCACUCAACGGAAUCCAAGUGGAUACGAUUCCAGACCAUCACUCAAAGGAAUCACGGGUUAGAAGGGAUUCUGGACCAUCACUCAAUGGAACCCCAGUGGAAACCCAGUUCCGGAUUACUUAAUGGAACCGAGUGGAAGUCCAAGGAAUAUAGCAAUGGCUUGAAGAAACAGUACAAGAACCAAGUACUCAAUUUGGAAGGGCUGAACAAAACAAAGGUGAAAUAAGGAAACAAGAUGGGAAACAAGUUCGGUGUCGAUCCAACGGUCGGAUCGUCAAUUCAUAUAAUAACCAAGUGGCGGCCGACUAGGCGGUCAACUAUGACACUAUAUUAAAAUAUCGAGAUUUCACUAAAGGAUGUCAUCUACGGAAUCUUCACUAACGGAUGUCAUCUACGGAAUCAGUGUAUCAAAUUUAGCCUAGGAUGGUCAGGUGGGGUCUCGGCCCAUGCGUCGAUGCACGUGGUGGCUAGCCGCGCCCGACCCGUCGAAAAAUUCAACUAUUUCAAAAAAAAUACCAAAUAUUAUAGGCAGGUAGAUCUCAAUGAGGGGAGUAAUUUUCAUAACUGAGCUGAAGUCCAAUUCGGAUGGAAAGUGCUCGGAAUUUCCCUUGAUCCACCGAAACACUAGAAUUUAGGUGUCCUCGAUUCCUCCUCCACUGCUUAGGAUUUUUUCCUAAGGUUGUGGGGAGCCUUAUGGUGGUGGUGGUUGACGGAGUUACCUUUAGAUUUGAUAGAUCGCCACCACGAACCUUGUCACACCCAUUGUGCGGGUUUAACAAUUUUAAGGCCAAAUUCCAUUUAUUUUAGGGUGGAAUGGGUAGAGGGGAGGCCAUGGAGUGUUUCCCCAGGAGGUUGUUUGACGUGGUUCGCCCAAAAAACUGACGAAAAAUUGUUAGAAAUGGCUACCCGAACUGGGUUGGGUCACGCAGGAAAAUGGGUCAAAGAGGGGAUCCGAUUCCCCCAUUCUCUCCUCCCUCCUUUCCCCUUCUUGCUCUCUUCCCCCAUUGGUCACUCCCCCUCCUUUUCUCUCCUGCAACCUUAACUUCCUCUCGCUCUUGCUGUCAUUUGGCAGCUUCUAAUUUUUUUUAUUUUUUUCAGAAACUUCUAACGUCUCCUUUCUCGUCCCGAUUGACGAACAGCCUUCGCCUAUGCGCUCGUGGGGUCGAGCUCAAUUAGAAAACAUUAAGUGUGACCUCCAAAGGUCUACGGAUUUUAAAUGAUUAUUUUCAAAAAUUCAAACUUUGUAAUUAAGUAAUUAAAAUAUAAAAUUAAUUUAAAUUCACGAAAAUACUAUAAAAUCCUGCGAAUACGAAAUACGUAAAUUACAAUAGUGAAAUCCAGGAGGGGAAUUUCACAUUACCUCGGAUGCCCUCGUUGUUAAUCCAAUUAUUAUCACAUCACAUUAGAGCUAUCAUGCCCCAAUCCCGACAUACGUCCAAGAUCGAUACGUGACGUCCCUAAAUGCCCGUAACUCAACAUACCCCGCCUUUUGGAUAUGUACAAAAUAUAAUUCAAGAUCCAAAUGCAUAAUAAUUUUGCGUACUUUAUGGCUGCAUCUAACAUCUUCGUUAGACUGCCUACGUACCCUCAAUAGGAAUCAAGCCAUUCGUAGUUCCACAAUCGUCAACUCUAAUCUUUUCAUAAAAUACUUCUAACAUAAAAUUAUAAGGCACCAUAUUACACAUCAACCUUACGUCAACAACAAUUAUCAUCUUUCAUACACGCAUGUAAUGUAACCCAUUCUCACACAGAUACUUUCCAAUUCAUCCAUCAUAUAGAUCACUCUGUUUCACAUAAUACCGCAAAUCAUAGUAUGUAACAUAUCAAAGAACCAACAAAGCACAAUGUUAUUCUCAAGUCACAUUAAUCAAUUACUCUAAUCAUAAUAAUCUCAAUCAUACCCAACAUUAUUCCACAAUCACAUCAAUUAAUUAAUCAUGAAUCAAAGAUACAUGAUCUUAUCAUUUAAUUGUUUAAUCAAUGAAUGCAGUAACAUAUCAUUUCACAAAUUUAACCAAGGAACUCUAUCAACUCCGAAUGAGUCACCCAUACAUCCAACGGUUCGUCUGGAACAAAUCACAACAACUCAUAAUCAUAAUCUCAUACAACACCAUGAAAAGUAAGGCUAGAGCGACACAGUUCAGCCGAAGCCUACAUCUCUAAAGCUAUCUCGAUCCAAACUCAAUAAAACCCAAGGUGAACAUGAUCCCAGACCAUCCCUCAACAGAAUCACAAAGUAGGAGGGAUUCCGAACCAGCUCUUAACGGAAUCCAAGUGGAUAUGAUUCCGGACUAUCACUCAACGAAAUCGCGGAGCACACUGCAUAACCACCACUAAGUGAAACCCAAGUUAGAUAUGAUUCUGGAACAUCACUCAACGGAAUCGUGGAGUAGAAGGGAUUCCAGACCAUCACUCAAUGGAAUUGGGGAGUAGAAGGGAUUCCAGACCAUCACUCAACGGAAUCCAAACCAGGAUACAAUUCAGGAUCAUCACUCAACGGAAUCGCGAAGUAGAAUGUGUAACACCAAUCAAUAAAACAAGACAUGGAUCAAGUUACUCAAGGUACAAAGACUGAACUGAAUAAGGAUGAAUAAUGACAUGUGGGUUGAAACAUGUUUCGAAGGCAACCAACCCCAUAACAAUGGUUAAUGGUCCACUACUAGCCCUCGCAUUUCAUCACCUCAAUCCAAUCAUACAAUACAAACCAUAUUUCCAAUGCACAAGUCAAAUCAUACUUAAUGAAAAUAGAUCAAUGACCAAAAAUAAAAUAACACUUCAAUAGAAUUCACAUUUAAUUAACAUGGGUCUAUGGCAUAUAUAUAUAACAUGAGCCAAAGAAAUCAAUUUUCUCCAGCUUAUGUAACAGCCCAUUUCCAAUUCAUAUAACAAAUCCCAAAAUACUUCCAGGUAGUCUAAAAGUCAUGUAUACAAUAUCCAAAACUAGCAUGACUCAAAAUUAACAAGAAUUGACCUUUUAAACCAAACCCCUGAUCAAGAAAUUUGAUCUACACACCCAAUCCGAAAUACCCAACUCUAAUUCAUGUUUAGACUAGUUCAUUGAAUGAUAGAAACCCUAAAUAGAAUUAAGAACUCCAAUAUAUCAUGGCAGUUUCAAUUCAACUUAAGAAAGUUAAAUUCGAAAAUCAAGAUAAUGAAGUAACAAGGAAUUUACCCUUUAAAUCUCUGAAUCCUUCCUUCACAAUCACGUUCUCUAUCUCCCCUCUCUCCGAUUUUUGCCUGAAGAAAGAAGGAUUUUCUUCCAACAGCUAUGGAAGAGCCACCUCCUCUCUGUUUCUUUUUCUUUCCUCUCACAGCCAGGAAGAAUGUGGAAGAACGUUCUUUUCCCCCUUCUCUUUCGCAACUCCCUUUUUCCUUCUCUCCUCCCUGUUUCUUUUCCUUCUUCCCCCCGUUGGUCCCUCAUUUUCCUCCUCUGUUUCUUUUUUUUUGUUUUUUUCUUUUCCCUCUUUUUCUUGCCACUCUCGUGGCUUUCCUUUUUCUUGUCUCCUUCAGCCACUGCCGUGGCUUUUUCUUCUCAUUUUUUUUUUGCAACAACUUCAAACGUCCGUAACUAUACCGUUAUAAUCCGAACUCGCAAACGGCUUUCGCCUAUGCGUUCGUGAUCUCGAUAUCUCAACAAUAUAAAUUGUGACCUCGAAUGGUCUACGGAUUUUAAAUAAUUAAUUUCCCGAAAAAUAAUAUAAAAUCUCUAUAAUACCAAUACGUAGAUUAUAAUAAUGAAAUCUAGGAACGGGAUUUCACAAGAGCAGCUAGAAGUUUCAUACAACAUAAAACACAUAAAAGUGUAGUGCUAUGCAUAAUCAAGAGUGCGAUCAUGCAAAUAUUAUUGACAAAAUAAAUAUGCAGUAGAGGAAUCAUCACCCAAAAUCCAAAAGAUGGAACUCAUGCCUAUUUCAUUCAAAGCAUGCUAUUGAUUUGCAUAACACAUAUUCAAGAUGAAGUUGUGUAGUGACCACCACCAAAGCUAAAUUGCCGUGUAUCCUACUUCAUUAUAUGUUUAAGUUUAACCCCGUUGAGCCUUGUGUAGCCUAUGUUCUUUGUUAACCCACACUGUCCUCACCUAGCCUAGAUUUGAACCAUCCAUACCCUUGUUCUUGAAGCAUAGUAAAGCAUGACUCAAAAUGAAUUCCUUUUUAUUAAUGUUUUGCAGAAAACAAGUGUGGGGGAAGUGAUUCUUGUUGUGUGUGUGUGCCAAAAUCCUUAAUAAGGCACAGGUAGGAAAGAAAAAGAAAAAGAAAAAUUUGUGGAAAAUAGAAUGAAAAGAAGAAAAGUUGUGAAAAAGAGCUUUAAAGUGUUGUUUGUUGAAGAAAUGGUCCAAAAACAUUGAAUUCGACCCUAAGUGUUGCAUGAAUCUUCCCUUUGUAUUUAAAAGUUGAUUCUGCAUUCUAAAGUGAAUUCCAAGUGUCGAUUUCAUUACUUUGCUUACUAUCGCUUUAAGAACGUUUGUUACCCCUAUCCUUUCUUUGUUAGCCAUUACCCCCAAACCCUGUUACAACCCUUGACUUCAAUCUUGAGUGCUGUGCGUUUCAAUUUGUGGAGUUUGAAAUUGGUAUGAGCAUAUGGUGUCACUGGUUCUCGCAUCUAAGUAGUAGCAUCUCAUUCAUGAGAUCAUAUUUAAACAUGCUUAUUAACUCCAGAAAAUUGCUUUCUUGUUGUAACAUACGUGAGUACUAGUCUUUCAUGUUUACAUCAAUCUUCUCACAUAUAACUAGUGUAGGGUGUGAAGUCAGAAAAUGUGUGUGAAAAUAGAGAGUAUCUUGCAAGGAAUUGAGCAAAUUCUCUAAGGCAUGUUACUACAUUCAAAACAUUGUUUUAAGUGGUUAAUUGUGAACUAGUAAGUAGUGACUGUGAUUAAGUAUGUGCUCAAGUGUGAAGAUAACUAAAAUCUGUGGGAAUAAUGAUUUUUAACAUGUCAUGUGCGUUGGAAAUCCCUGAGGCAAACAUUGGAAGGUUUAGGUUGUGUUUUGUUUUCUUUAUUUUGCUCGAGGACUAGCAAAAGCUAAGUGUGGGGGAAUUUGAUAGGAGCAUAUUUAUGCGACUUAGUUAACAUGUUUCUUGCACUUACUUAGUUAGUUAUUGCUUAUAAGAGUGUUUUACACCAUUUUCGUAUGUUUGUAGGUCCUAAUAACAAAGUUGGCAAGAAAAGUGCAUUUUGGUGCAUUUUGGAGCAAUUUUGGGCUGAAAUGGAUUGCAUGCACUUGGAGACAUGAGGAUGGACGUUUUGGGAAGAUUAGAAUUCAGCAUAUGUGUGUGCAAGUGUGUGACCUACAACUAAUAAACAUCAUAGUUGCCAUGUGAUGGAGACAACAUCAUACAAGGCACAUGCAAAGAAACACACACGACAUGGAGAGAAAGUGUAGUGGUUUGUGGCUGAAUUGUUGAAGCAAGUGUGUGCAAAUGUAAAGGGGAUCUAAACAUGGACAGCACACGGCAUGUGCAAAGGAGAAACAAAGAUGACAACACACACAUGCAAAGAAGGAAGAAUGCACGGCAAGAGAGGGAUAGAUCACAUGGAAAGACAUGGCACAUGUAAGAAAGGAGAUACUUUCAGCCAUAAGAACAAGGAAACACACACACAUAGGCAAAGGAAAGGCACGACAUGGGCAGAAAAUACACCACUACAUUCACUCAUUACCACAACACUCACCCUUGUCCCCUUCAUUAUUUCUGUUUUUAUGCACCAUUACAUUUAAUCAUUGCACUCAAGUGGUGCACAUCCCUUGUCCCCUUCACCCAUCAAAUUUCAUUCACUUUCACCUCCAUUACAUGCACUCAUUGAUGCACCACUCCUCCACUUUCCUUGCCCAUGCCGUGCAUCAUGAAUUCACCUGCACCUAUGACUCAUUUUUGCACCAUUCCACCUCCCUUUCCUUUAUCUACCAUGUGCACAAUCAUUCAUGUUCCCCACUUGCAUUCAUAGCUACAACACCACUCCAUUUCACCCCCCAUGCUUUGCAUCAUUACUUCACUUUCACCUUUGAAUCAUUGCUCACACCACCAUCCAUCCCUCCAUGCCGUGCACUUCCUUUAUAAAAGGAAGUGUGUGUGGCAGCCAUUACAUUCAAUUUUUGCUUGAUAAUUCAUCCCCAAUCCAAUACAACUUUCAUCCAAACACAUCUAUUCAUCUUCACAUCCAUUCCUCCAUACAACCAAAUCUUCAAACACUCACCAACACCUUGUGCCGUAGCAAAAGAAGGGAAAGAAAGUGCUUGGACGUGCAUGCUGUCCAACUUGGAUCAUUGGAGCGUUUAGGUGUUUUCUUUCUUUUGUUUUCAAUGUCUAAAUUGUUUUAUCUUUGCUUUGUAAGUAUGAGGAACUAAACCCCCCUUAGCAAGGGGGGGGGGGAUUCGAAACCAUGUUCAUACUUGCAAUAUGAUUUGAUUACCUUCAGUUGUGAUUUCAUAAGUUGUGAAUUCAAUUUGUUUAACUGCUUGAUUGAUAACUUAUUCGUGUAUGUUUAUUAAGAGUGCACACUUAGUUUGCAUACAUGAAUAUGAUGCUAGAGUAUAAAGGAGUUUCAUCUAAUAGUUACAAAUUUAUAUUCACAAGUAGUGGAGGUCGCUUAUAAACGAUCGUGUUAAAUGAAUUAUUGGCAGGAGUUUCAUGCUCAUCAUAGCAACGAAUGCCUCGUCAAUACUUAUAGUUUUCAUGAUGCUUAAUGAUCUUUGAUUGUAUUUUUAUUGUGUUGUUCACGUAAAGGACUUUUGAAGAGUGCUUGAAUUGUUGUAUGCGUUUUCCCUUCCAAUUCAAUAACUUAAGGAGAACUUGAAGGUUAAUUUAAGCGGACUUAAUUAACAUGGGGUGUUCAGUUUCAUGAUUGAACGAAAGAACAACUGAAAAAUUGGUUUAUGUGCAAGUAUGUCAUGUGUGGAGAAGUACCCUCUAGCUAGCCCAUCAUCCAUAGUUUAACCCAUCACCCAUCAAUUCACCUAAAUUUGUCUAAGAAUCUGUUUAAAUUGUUCUUGCUUUGUUUUCCUUAUUUUCGUCCAAAACCAAAAUCCCCUUUAUUUUAUUAAGUCAUAUUAGUUAGUACUUGUUUUAGAUUGUGUUUUUAAGUGUUUUAAGUCAAGAUAAAAUCAAUUUUCGUCCAAACUUUGUGUUAGUGGCAGAAACUGCCUUAGAGUUGUUUUUAGGCAGUUUUGAGUCUCUAUAAUCUAUUUUGAGUCUUGUGACUUUGUUUUGAGUCUUGUAAGUUUAAUUUCAUGCUUUUAAGUUUGUUUUCACAUAUUUAAGUUAGUUUCAAGUGUUUUAGCAAUCCCUCCUAAUCCCCGGCCUAGAACGAUCCCUACUUACAUUCUUUACUACAAUUGACAACAAGAGGGUUUAAUUUGUGUGUUAAGUUAUUUUCGCAUCACGUAUCCAACGCACUCUUGUUUUAUACCACGAAUGCAUAAAACAGUGCAAAUACCCUCCAAAUGGUGUAAUUUUAAUGCCAAAUGACCUUUUGAGAACUCAUUCUUAAUGUCUUCUUAACGUAUUAUAUGUGUUUAUUUGCUAAAGUUCCAAAGCGUAUCCAACGUACGCUCAUUUUAUACCACGAAUGCUUAAAACAGUCCAAAUACACUCCACAUAGUGUACUUUUGACACCAAAGAAGCAUUUUAUCUUUUGAGAACUCAUUCUUAACGUCUUCUUAACGAAUUUUAUGUGUUUAUUUUCUUAAGUUCCAAAGCGUAUCCGACGUACACUUGUUUUAUACCAAGAUUGCUUAAAACAGUGCAAAUACGCUCCAAAUAGUGUACUUUUAACACCAAAUAAGCAUUUGAUCUUAUGAGAACACAUUCAUAACGUCUUAUUAGCAUAUUAUAUGCGUUUAUUUGCUUAAAUUCCAAAGAGUAUCCAACGCACGAUUGUUUUAUACCACGAAUGCUUAAAACAGUGUAAAUACACUCCAAAUAGUGUACUUUUGACGCCAAAUAAGCAUUUGAUCUUCUGAGUACACAUUCGUAACGUCUUAUUAACAUAUUAUAUGUGUUUAUUUGCUUAAGUUCCAAAGCGUAUCCAACGCACGCUUGUUUUAAACCACGAAUGCUUAAAACAGUGCAAAUACACUCCAAAUUGAGUAAUUUAACACCAAAUAAGCAUUUGACCUUUUGACAUCUCAUUUUUAAUGUCUUAUUAACGUAUUAUAUGUGUUUAUUUGCUUAAGUUCCAAAGCGUAUCCAACGUACGCCCGUUUUUCCACUACAACUGAUUCGUGCACUUGCGAGUAAAUUUGGUUUGAAUUAAUCUAUUUAUUAGGUUAGUUUAAAUUCACAUCAAGUUUUUGGUGUUGUUGCCGGGGAUUGUUUUUUCCAAUUUAAACUUUAAUUGUUGCUUAUCAUAGUUUGUUUAUAAUUUUAUUUGUUAAUAAUUUUUUUUUCUAUCCUUUCUUCCAUGUGUUCUUCCUUCUUAAGUUUUGUUUGGUUUUUUUAGGUACUGCUUAGUUUUGUUCUAUUAUGGUAGAUGCAAGGAGAUCGAUCACUCAAUCUAGCACUUAUUCUUAUUGAUCACGAACUUGAGCAGACGCUACAAAACCAGCAACGGAAACAUUUAUCUCAAGGAGAGGUGCUCAAACACCAAUUUCUGAAAAAGAAUCAGAGAUGGCUGAGCAAGAUUAGGAAACUGUGCUCGUUAGAAGGCCGAUGAAGGAUUCUUUUGACCCUCAGGAUUUGGAUCAGCCCUCGUGCAUUGCAUUCCAACUAAAUAUUGAUGGAACUUGUAUGUUAUCUCCUUAGUUGCUCAAUAUGCUUCCUCACUUCAAUGGAGAAUCUCUAAAAGAAGAUCCUUAUGCACACAUUUAAGAGUUCUUCGACAUAUGUAAAAUGCAGCACAUUAGGGGACUUAGUGCCGAUGAGAUUAAAUUGCUUUUAUUCCCUUUUUCUUUAAAAAGAGAUGCCAAAAAGUGGUUGCAUUCAUUACCUGCCAAUUCCAUCACUGCUUGGGGACAAUUGGCUAAAAAGCUCAUGAAAAAGGUCCACAUCAAUAUUCCACUACUUGAGGCUAUCAGGCAAAUCCCUUCCUAUGCCAAAUUUCUCACGGGUCUUUUUUCACAUAAGCGCAAGUUGAAUGGCAAAGAAAAGGUUUUUCUUACCAAAAAGUUGAGUGAUAUCUAUCUAUGGAAAAAUCCAUCAAAGCUUUAGGACUCUGGAAUUCCUACACUAUCUUGUGUCAUUGGGAGUCAUAAAUUCGAAGAAGUAUUGGUUGAUCAUGGAGCAAGCGUGAAUUUAAUGCCAUAUUCAGUUUAUGUGGAAUUGGGUCUUGGGGAACUGAAACGAAGCCCAAUUACAUUGGAAUUUGCCGAUGGAUCUGUAAAGAAGUCAUGUGGUGCUAGUGAAGAUAUGUUGAUGCAAAUUGACAAAUUUUAUUAUUUGAUGGACUUUAUUGUUCUUGAUACAAGGCCUGUGCGUUAUUCAUCUACUGAAAUUCUGAUUAUUCUUGGACGUCCCAUUCUAGCUACUGCAAAGGCUAAUAUUCAAAGUGACACUGGAGUUUUAACUUUGUAUUUUGGGGAUAUGAAGGCUAAAUUCAACUUGUAUCCUGCUCAUGGCCUUCAAUCUGGUGCCGAUCACGUUGAAAGUAUUCAUCCUGCAGUUCGUGCGUACAAGAACGACUAGAACAAAGCAGUGUCUGGCUGAAGACAGUAAACUUAGCGCUAUUGGGAGGCAACCCAAUUUCUUUUCCUUAGUUUUCUUUCUUUAAGUUUUAUUUUUUGUUAGUUUUUCCAUUAGAUUGCUUCGCUGCUGCUGCUUAUUUGCUCGUUGGUGUUUGUUCUGUUUGCAGGUUUGGCUCUCUAUUCCAAUUUGAGAAAGGAAAUUCGAACAAAGUGGUGUACUGCAGCAUGUUUGCUUGCAGUUUGGAUGAGAUUAAGAUGGUUAUUGUUGCCAUCCCCAAAUUUUUCCACAACAGCAAGCAUGCUCUGAGACCAUAUCAUUUGUGCACCAUUCAUAUCCACUGGAUGAUUUGCUAAAAAGAGCUACAUUUACAAACAAGGAAGUUCCCUGACUUUUUUCUUUUUCUUUUGUUUUCUUUGUUUUAUACUCCUAUUCCAUACCGCUUUAUGUCCUAAUUACAUGUUCGAUUCCAUAUUUUUUAACAUUGAGGACAAUUUUGGGUUCAAGUUUAGGGGUAGGAUAUUUUAGUUUGGUGUUUUUAAAAGUUGAAAAGAAAAAACAAAUAACAAAAAAAAAAUUAAAAAAAAAAACCUAAAAAUAUUUCUUUGUAUGUUUCUUUCUCUUUUCCCUUUUCCUUUGAGUCGCUUUCCAAAUUUCCAUGACGAAAUUGAGUUAAUAACUUGUAUAACUUGAAUCAGAAAAGUGUGGUAACAUAUGGGGUUUUAGCUUUAUUCACUUUAUAACAUGAUUCUAGCAUGAUGUGUUUGAUGCACAAUAACCUUUGGUAGAUAUUAUGUAAAUUUUACUAAGUUGAGCAUGCUUAACUUGAAUAAAACCCGCACCCAUGUGAGCUUUUGUGCCUAAAUGUAGUGUAUGCAUUUUUCAUACACUUUUGUUCUUUUCAUGUGUGCAAUCUUAUAUGUGAUGCAUCUCUAGAACUUGCUUUGAGACCUUUUGGAGACUUCGUGUCAUGUAUUGCUUCAACUUGGAGAUGAUAGUAGGCAUUAGGUUGAAGACCAAUAGGCGGUGGAGAUAUCUUCGGAAAGAAUUUCAAAUUGACUGGAAUUCCUAUUUUUUGGAAGACUUGGGCGCAGAUAAAAGCAGAGAGGGUAGCAGCGGAAGAGGGGGAUUUUUCUGCUGGCGUGAAGUAGAGAGGGCAGCAGCGGCAGGGAGGAUUUGAUUUGGUUCUUCUUCUUUAGUUUUAUUUUAUGCAAAAUUUCCUUCUUAGAAUUACUAUGAAUUCUUCGUUCAUGGGGUUCUAAAGGGCUUGGUAGUACAGGUGGAGCCAUAUCGUAGUGUAGUUGGGAUUGGGAUGCUCUCUCUUUUUUAUUCUCUCUUGAUGAUCUAAUUUGUUUGCUGUGAAUGUGAUGCUUAGUUCAAACCUGCUAUCCUAUUUGUAAGAAAUUAAGCACAAGCUAGCUCAAGUUAUGGUCUUUAAUUAAUAUUAACUUCGACAAAUGAGUUUCCCAUCUCUUUCAUUGAUAUGAACACGGCUGAUCUCAUUGGUGUGGCGCAAUAUUUGUUAAAUUAGCUGAUCGGUUUGAUUUCUUUGUAUAACUCUUCUGCCAAUUCUGCAACUUGUAGAUGUAAUUCACAUUACAAAAUAAAAAAAAUAAAAUCCAAAGCUCAUAUAAGAUAAAUAAGGACUUUUUAUAUCAUAAAAUAAGACUUUCUAACUUGUACAUGACUAUAAUUACAAAAUCGAACACAUUGAUGGGUGCGCAUUUUCCAUCAACGUCUCUUCUGUGCGUGUAAGCUGAGCGUGGAGUCUUUUUUUAGCAAUUAAAAGUUUUGUAUCAUUUGAUUGACUUGGUUUGAUAAGACCUAUAUCUAGAUGACUCGGUUCUGAAGACUAACGUAAAACUUUAUGUUGAUAUUUCUUGAGGGUGAAACAUAGGGCUGGUUCGGUAUGGGAUACCGAACCAAAAAUGGCAUAUCAAAUCCCGAACCGAAAAUUUUCGGGACGUAAAUCUCAUGACCGAUCCCGAACCGAAAUUUCGGGAUUCCCAAAUUUCGGGAUUCCCGAAAUAUUUUCGGUAUUUCGGAAUUUCCCGAAACCGAACAUCAUCAGAAUCCAAAUCGUCUUAGAUUAAUAUUGAAAUCAUCCGAACCUGCAUUAAAAAUCCAAAUUGAAAUCAGAGACAUAGUGAUAGUGAAUCAGUGAAAGAUUUAUGGUCGAGAAAGAGGCAGAGUGAAGAGAGGGACCUCCUCCUGACCCGAGCCCCCAAUUCGAAACCCUAAGCCCCAAUUCAAAACCCUAACCUCAAUUCGAAAUCCCACACACACAGAGAAUCACUGGAGAGAACCGGAGGUGGGGAUGAAGCCAUGAGGUGUGGUGGUGGCCGGAGUGGAGAUAGUUCGUCGGAGUCAGAUUGCUAGACGGUGGGUGGCUGCUAAGCUUCAAAUCCGAGAAAGAGAGGGAGAGUCUGAGACUGAGUGAAGUGAAGGCAGAUGAGAGGCGAAAUGAAAUGAGAGAGAAUGAGUAGGGAUGUUUGGCUUGGUUUUGGAUUGGGUGGAAGGAAAGGUUAGGUGAUUUCUGGGUUGUAUAGAGAGAGAGAGAGAGAGAGAGAGAGAGAGAGAGAGAGAGAGAGAAUACGAGAGAGAUGAGACAGAAAAAAUGAGAGGGAUAAAGGAUUAGGUAGAGAGAUAACUGAUGAGACAGAAAAUAGGGAAGAGAGAGAGACGGCUCUGUCUUCAGAAAGCAAAGCCUUGCGUGACCCAUCCCUUCCCAUGUGCUUGAAGCAACAUUUGUCAGCACCACACCACACACACACUGACACAUAUACAUAUACACACACACCGACACAUAUACAUAUAUACACACACACACACUGACGCAUAUACAUACACACACACAUUCCAACACACACACACUGACGCACACAGACACAUAUAUAUAUAUAAUAUACCUAAUAUAAUAUUGCCAACACACACACAGACACAUAUAUAUAAUAUACCUAUAAUAUACCUAAUAUAAUAUUGCCAACACACACACACAGACACAUGCACACACACAUAUAUAUAUAUAAUAUACCUAAUAUAAUAUUAAUAAAGUUCGGUUCGGGAUCGGGAAUACCGAAAAUUUCAAAUUGUAAUACCGAUCCCAUACCGAACAAUUCGGGAUCGGUUCGGUUUCGGUACUAAAAUUUUCGGGAUUUUUGGUUCGGUAUUUUUUCGGUUUGGUUUCGGUAUGGUUUCGGUAUGGUUCGGGAUUUUUGGUAUUUUUUUCCAGCCCUAGUGAAACAUUGUUUGAGAAACGUUUUGGGCCUCAUUACAAUUUUUUUCACAUAUUUUUUAAGUUUCGGUUUAAAUAUUCUACUAUAAAUACAUUUGUGGCUUUAAUAACUGGUAAAACCACUUUCAAAUAUCUUGUUAAGUUUUUCUUAACGUCAUGGAUUUUUUUUUACGAAAAUGAAACAUUUGCAUUUUUCACAAAAAAAAAUGUGGUUUGUCAAUUUUGUAAAUUUGUAUAAAAAUCUUCAUUAAGUCCAUUUGUUUUCACAUUCACCUUACAAUGAGGCACUUAAAAUUAAUUUAUAACUUUCCAUCGAUACUUGAGUAUAGACCCUUGUUAAGGCAAAGAGUUGGGCUUCACUACAAUUUUUUUUCAUUUAUUUUUUAGGUUUCGUGUCACAUCUUGCCCUGGCCCCCACCACAUCCCAAGCACGACUCUACCGUAGCACGAUAUUGGUCGUUUUGGGUCCCGACCAUGCCCUCAUGGUUUGUUUCUAGGAACUCACACGAGAACUUCCCAUGGGUCACCCAUCAUGGGAUUGCUCUCGCGCGAACUCGCUUAACUUCGGAGUUCCAAUGGAACCCGAAGCUAGUGAGCUCUCAAAAGGCUUCGUACUAGGUAGAGUUGGGAAUAUACAUAUAAGGCUUACAUGAUCCACUCCCCCGGACACUGGCGAAGCUACGUGAGGGCGAGGAGUGGCGCCCGCCCCUCCCCUCGCCGGAAAAAGGCCUAGGAGCGCUGGUUCGGCCCCUCUGCUUUCGUCAGAAUUUAUGGUGGAGGAGAUUAACAGAGGUCCGGAAGAAAGUCGAAGAAGGGAUUACGGUGGGGACGACGAAGGAGAGGGUGGGAGUGGGAUCGACGGGGAAGGAGAUGCGGUUGCGAUGGACGGAGGAGAGGUUGAUGGAGGAGGUGUGGGGGUGAGAUUGACGACAAGCAGUUGGGGGUGUCGGGUCUGGGAGAAAAGCAAGGAAGAAGAUGGGUGUUUGGAUGUGGGUUGAAGAUAAAGUUGGGUGUUUGGUGAACAAGAUAACAAGUGUUUGGGAAGAGUUUUAAAGGACAGGUGUUUUAAAGGUGGGUGCUUGGUUAACAAGAUAACAAGUAUUUGUGGUUUUAUUUUUGGGAGUUUUAACAAAAAAAAAAACUCCUGUUACUGUUUACUUUUAACUAAAAAUCACAUUUAUACAUUUCCCUGGUAUUAUUCACUAUAUCUUUAAAAAUGGCUUUUCAUUAAAAAUGAAGUUUUUUUGGACAUUUCUUUAGUUUUCCUUUUAUUUUUUAGUCUUGUAUGUAUUUUUAUUUUGUCUUUUAAGAAUCCCAUCACAUUUAUCUUAAACUCUCACAUUCUUUAUAAAUAUUGUAUUACUUUUAAAAACAAUGUAAAUAUUGUUUAAUGCUUAUUUUACGAUAAUUUAAAUCUAUCUAGGCUCCCGCCUAGAUAUCGUCUAGGCACCUAGCUGCUAGGUCUCAGUCCGCUGUUUGAUUAGGACCUAACAUUUUUUAGGAUCUAAUCCUAGCCAAUUUAAGUUUCUUACAUUGGCUUAGAUAUUAUUGCUUACAACCGCUUGGGUGGAUAAACUAUUUUCUGCUAUGAAUAUUGAGUCAAAACUUUGUACUAUCUAAUGUGAAAGUAACUGCUUCGAUUGAACCUUACACUCUUUUGAAUUUCGCCCCUUCCCUCUGAAAAUCCUGGCUUCGCCACUGCCCCCGGACGAUGUGGAAUGUUACAUUUCGGCUUAAAUAUUCUAUUAAAACUAAAUUUGUGGCUCAAUAAUUGGUAAAACUCUUUCCAAAUGCUUUAUAAAUAUAUUGUCCUAAUGCUAACGAAAAAUAUUUUGUGAAGACUAAGGAUUUGCAUUUCUCACAAAAAAUGUGGUUGCUCACUGUUUUUCUUCGGUUUUGCAAAUUCGUACGCAAAUCAUCAUUAAAUCUAUUAGUUUUCAUCUUUGCCUCAGUGUGAUGUUUCUAAGAUUAAUAUAAGAGUUUUGGUUGAUAUUCUUGAGUAUAUACCCCGUUUAGGCAAUGUUGGACCUCAAUACUGUCUUUUUAAUUAUUUUUUGGGUUUGGGUUAAAAUAUUCUAUUAGAAAUACAUUUGUAGCUCAAUAAUUGGUAGAAACACUUUCAGAUGCCCUAUAAAGAUUUUCUUAAUGCCCUUGAAAAAUUCAAAAUUUGCAUUUGUCACACAAAAAAACGUGGGCUAACACUCACGAUUUUUAGACGAUUUUGCAAAUUCGUAAAAAAAUAUUAUCAAAUCUUAAACCUUUUAUAAUUCUUGUUCUAAAUGGAUUGUCUGUCAGUCGUACAAGAUUAUAAUUACAUGAUAAACACACUAAUGGGUGUGUAAUUUCCUGCAAUAUCUUCAAAGUGCGAUUAAAAUGAGCGAUUGUCGACUUUCAUAAAAUAGUAAGGCUAUAGGUCUUUUAAUAUUGCAAGCUUUUAUAACUCUUAUACUAAAAAUGUGUACAAGUUUAUAAGUGGAUUAACAGACUAAUAGUUUGGUAUAAAUGAAGACUAAAUGAGGGACUUGAUUCUCAACUUGCACACUACAUGUCACGCCCCGAUCCCGACAUACGUCCAGGAUCGACACAUGACGUUACCAAAUACCCAUAUCUCAACCUACCCCGCCUCCUAGAUAUGUAUAUAGCAUAAUUCAAGAUCCAAAUCUCAUAGAAAUUUUUGUAUAUUUUAUGGCUACAUCUAACCUCCUCGUUAGACUGCCUACGUACCCUCAAUAGGGAUCAAGUCAUUCGUAGUUCAUUAUUCCACUUCAAUCGAACAUUCAACACAUAGACCACUAUGUCUCAACAUAAUACUACAAUUCAAUCAUUUAGCACGUCAAGGAACAUUUAACAAAGUACAAUAAUAAUUUUUAGUCAUCUCGUCAUUCAUCCACUCAUAAGCGUUCAAACACCAUCCAAUUAUCACAUCAAUCAAUAGAACUUGACAAGCAUAAAAUUCCUGGACUCAAGGUAACAUAACAAACCCACAUGAAAAAAUCAAGAUUUCCCUUCCAUCCUUCAUAUAAAUCACUAUGACUCAACAUGAUAUCUCAAUUCACAACAUAAAUCAUAUUUAAGAACCGACAACGCACAAAACCAUCCUCUAGCCACAUUAAUUAACUAAUAUGGUCAAAAUAAUAACAUUCAUUCUCAUAUCUUCUAAAUUCAUAAACUAUGAAAUUAUAAUUGAAUCGUAGAAAAUCUCGAUGGAAUCCCACAGACGUACAACCGCUUUUAUACUUCAAUUCAUAAUAUUCUCAAACCCAUUAUUCGGAAUAAACUCAAAUGAAGGCUAAAGUGACACAAUUAAAUCAAACCUACUUCUCCGAAGAAAGGGAUUCCGGACCAUCACUCAACAGAAUCCAAGUGGAUACGAUUCUGGACCAUCACUCAACGGAAUUGUGUAGUACAAUGUAUAACAACAACUAAAUGAAACCCAAAUCAAAUACGAUUCCGGAACAUCACUCAACGAAAUCGCGGCGUAUAAAGGAUUCCGGACCAUCAUGUAGACAUCGAAAUUUCGGUAAAUAAAUAUUGACCGAUAAAUCAAAGUUUCAACGCUCAUGUAUUACAUAAAUUUUACACGUAGCGUGUGUCUAAACAAAAAAUCGAGAAUCAUCGGAAAAGUCAUCAAACAGGACACGUGUCAACACCUGGCAGAAACGACUUAUUUCAUCUGGAAUAUUAUAUUCAAAAUUAGGCCUUGGAAAAUUAUAUAAAUAGAAGCCAAUUUCAUUCAUUUCAUUGGACCAAUUGAUAUUACACCUUGAAGCUCUGAAGCUUUGAAGCUCCAAAGCUCUCAAGCUUUGAAGCUCCAAAGCUCUCAAGCAUCCAGGUUCCCGAAGAAUCAAGAAAGCCUUCUUCGUUCAUCGUUCUUCCAAGAUCAAGCCCCGACGGCCCUUGGAUCAACAAUCAUCCACCUUCAAGAUCAAGCCCCGACUGCCCCUUUGAAGAACUUCCACCUUCAAGAUCAAGCCCCAAAGGCCCUUGAAGAACUUCCACCAAUUCAAGAUCAAGCCCCGACGGCCCUUGAAGAAAGUGUUCAUCGUUCAUCAUCCGUUCAUCCCAAAAAAUAAAGAAAGCCUUCUUCGUUCUUCGUUCUUCGUUCAUCGUUCUUCCAAGAUCAAGCCCCGACGACCCUUGGAUCAACAAUCAUCCACCUUCAAGAUCAACCCCAACGGCCCCUUUGAAGAACUUCCACCAAUUUAAGAUCAAGCCCCAAAGGCCCUUGAAGAACUUCCACCAAUUCAAGAUCAAACCCCAAAAGCCCUUGAAGAUCCGUUCAUCACUGUUCUUCAAAGAUCAAGCCCAAAAGCCCCUUAAAGAUCCGUUCAUCACCGUUAUUCAAGAUCAAGCCUCAACGGCCCUUGAAGAAACACUCAUCCUCAAGAUCAAGCCCCAACGGCUCCUUGAAGAUCCGCUCAAAUCCACCUUCAAGAUCAAGCCCACGGCCCUUGAAGAACGUUCAUCCUUAGAUCGAAUCAGAUGAUCAAAUUUAAGAGAGAUUGUAACCCAAAAUCAUCAAAUACAAAUAUUAUUUUGUGCACAUUGUUCUUGUUUCUUUCCUUUCAAGAAAUUUUCAUGUUCACACAUCACUCAACGGAAUCCGACUGGAUACGAUUCCGAACCAUCACUCAACGGAAUUGCGGAAGGCCAACAACCAUAUAUACAAUGGCUCAAAGAAAUGAGACAAGUACAAAUUACUUAAUUUACAAAAGCUCAACCAAGGAAAUAAGGCACAAAUACUAAAUUUAGAACGAAUCAACGAAGCAGAAGAUGAAAUCAUAACGAAGCAACAAAUCCCCAUCACCACGGGUUAACAGUCUACCACUAGUUCUCACAUUUCAUCACAACAUGCCAAUCAAACCAAUCAAACCAUAUUUCAAUAUACGCAUGUCAAAUCUCAUUUCAUAAACUUAAAUCAAUGGCUAAGCAUUAAAAAUAACAAUUCAAUAGAAAACAUAUUUAUAAAACCAAGUCAUAUCCACAUAGGAUAACAAUUAGGAAAAUAGGGUAAUCACCAAUAUCACAUAUAUUAAAGUCCCUCACAUUUCUAUACAUCACACUAAUCCCUAUGAAUUACAACGUAGUCUCCUAUACCAUCAACUUAUCAUGGCCACCAACUAAUAUAUCACACAAGCAUAUAAGUUCUACAGAAUAUUUCAAAUAGGAUUCUAAGAUCGCAUAGCCAUAAAUUUAUCAUACUUAACCUUCACAUUACUAGAAAUAAUUAAACAUCCAUAUAUCACCAUUAUCAUCAAUACACAAGCCAAAUCAUGUUUAAUAAACAUAAGUCUAUGGCUAAAUAUAUGAAAAAUCACAUUACAAUAGAAAUCAUAUUUAUAAGUCCAACGCACGUUUACAAAUGAUAUUGAUAUAAGAAAUUAAGGUAAUAACCAUAUCACAAUAUUCAAGUCACUCUCCAACCAAUAUAGGUCCACUAGACUUCACUUAAGUCUCCCGUAGUACUAAUUUCAGUAUUGGGAACGUUUCGAGACAUGUUGACCAAAAGUCAACUCUCGGUCAAAGGUAGGGUCCACAAUUCUACACAAUUCAGUCCGGAAGAUCCACACAAUGGAUUUCGGAUCCGUAACUUCCCAAAGUCCACAUUAUGCUUCUAGAAUAACAUACUAAAUUCCCAUCGCAAUCCGACGGUCAGAUCUUCACCAAUUACUAGAAUUAAGUGGCGGUCAACAAUUUAUUUUACCAACUUAGAAAUCCAAUUAGGGAAGAUCCGUAUGUCGGAUUCCCGAUCCGUAAGUUUCUAUGAUGCACAAAUAGACCAAGUAAGGUAUCGUAAUGAAACUAAGUCCAAACAAUCAAAUUACGUCAUACGGAUAUCAAUUAUGAAAUCAAGGAAUUUAUUUGAACUUAAAAGGACGUCUUCAACCCACUUGCCAGGCCGCCGCCCCGACUUGCCGGAAAAAUUCAACUAUUUUUAAAAAUUACCAAAAUUUACAGGCAAGUAUAUCUCAGUGAGGGGAGCAACUUUCAUACCUGUGAAUAAGGCCAAUUUGUCCAAGAAGAGCUCCAAUUUCGUUAAAACCCGUCGGAAACCCUAUAAAGGGUGUUCUUCAAAUCACCACCAAAUCGAACCCAAGGUCUCAACAAUUGACUGGGCAUGGUUCCUAGGUUCAAGGGAAGUAUUUUGGUGAUAAAAAUUGCACCAAAUUGUUUCAGGAAUAGCGGAUUCACCACAGUGGUCCCCAUGGCCCGACAUGAACUUUCAUCAUGAAAUCACGACCAAUGACCACCAAACUUAGGUGGGAAUGGAAGCUAGGAUGACACCAUGUUGAUGUCAAGUGAAAACUGUGCAAAAAUCGCCUGAAAAAUGGUGGAAGUUGGCCGGAAAUCCCUACGGGUCGCCGAGGAUGGGUGCCCUGCACCUCUCUCAUUUCUUUCCUUUCUUUGCUUUUUCAUUGGUCACCCUCACCUCUCUCCUCUUCUGAUUCGUCCCCCUCCCUCCUUGUUCCUCCUGUUCCUCCUUCUUCCCCCUCUCCCCCUCUUUUCUCCUGUCGCUCUUGCAACUCCCCUUUCUUUUUUUUCCCUCAUUUUCUUUUUCCUGAUUGGUUUCCUUUUUUUUUUUGAAGAAACUUCUAAAACUUCCGUAAAGUUCCUUUCUCAAUCCGAUUCACAUAUGGCCUUCGCUUAAGCGCUUGUGAGGUCAAGCCCAAUUAAAAACAUUAAGGGUGACCCUCGAAGGUCUACAGAUAUAACAAUUAUUUUCCAAAAAUUCAAACUUUGUAAUUAGGUAAUUAAAAUCUAGAAUUAAUUUAAAUUCAUGAAAAUACUAAAUCCCGCCCAUACGAAAUACGUGGAUUACAAUAGUGAAAUGCAGGAACGGGAUUUCACACUGCAUAGGUGUGAAAUCUUUUGGUAUAAUUAUAGACUUAAUGUCUCGUUCAUUAAGGUAUUGAUCUGUAAAAGAACUAGAUUUAGAGAACGAAAGUGCAAUUAAAUGAGAAAUAUAUUAUUCUAUCACAAAGCACAUGACUUAAUGUCUCGUUCACUAAGGUAUUGUGCCUAACUAAUGUGUUUGCAGUUAAUUUUUAAGAUUCAGCUUAAAUAAUCUAGAGUGAUGAUAGACCCACCCCAUUAUCCUAAUUUCACCCAUCAUAAAAAUUAAAAAAAUUAAAAUAUUAUUUCUCCGCCCACCAUUAUUCCUAAAAUAACUAAUGUCUAAUUUUUUAAACAAUAAUAUUAAUAUUUAAAAAUAAAAAAAAACAAAAAAAAACUUCAUGCUUCCUUAAUUGCCACUACCCUGAACGCACCAGAACCUCCUCCCACUCCCAUCAAAAACAAAAACCUUUGACACCUUCUUGCCGGCAUCUCCUUUGGAAAGAGAGAGAAACUAAAGGGAAAGGAAGAGAGAAACACUGGGGGAGUUUUCCAAUACAGAGGCAGAUUGCUCCAAAGCGAUUUAUUCCAACUAGAAUUGGGUAUUCUAUGAUUUUAAAAUCUGGGUUCUCGUCGUUGUUCUUUUAUGAGGAAAAGGAGGAGAUGAUGGAGGUGUGGUAGUACCAUAAUUGAAAGGGAGAGUGGGGUGCUAUUUGUUCCUGGGGAGGGUAAUGGAUGAUUGGGGAUUUGAUGGUCGUCGGUACAUCGUGGAUGAUUUAGGAGGAUGAUGUAGGAGGAUGAUGGAUUUAUUUUUACUUUUUUUAGUUUUAGGUUUUCUUUAUUCUCUUUUAGUUUAUUUAAUUAAAGUUAUAAAAAAAUUUAAAUGUGGAUUUAAAAGUCUUUUGCUAAAAGGAUAAUUAUGUGAUUAACAUUUUGAUUACAAGGUGGGUGGGAAAAUAAGACAAGGGGGUGGUUUUAGUAGCACUCAUAAUCUAUUAGAAAUGCAUUUGUGGCUCUGUAAUUGGUAGAGCAACUUUCAAAUGCCUUAUAAAUAUUUAAUUAAUGUUCAAUAAAAUAUUUUGUGAAAAUAAAGAAUUGCAUUUUAGACACAUAUAUAUAUGUCAUGAUUUUUAAACGGUUUUGAAAAUUUGUAAAAAAAAUAUCAUUUUUUUAAAUACAUCGAUGUUUUUACACUAAGGGGAGGACGAGUUCGGCUAUGCCACACAAAGGGCAGCCUAAUUUGGUAUCAAAUUCGCCAUCCACGAGAUUCAAACCUAAGACCUCUCACUUCCCAGUUGAGAGGAAUACCACCAAACCGUAGUACUGAGUGGCAAAAAAUCAUCAUUAAAUCCACUUGUUUUCACCUUCGCCUUUCCAUGAUGUUUUAAAACUAAUGUAAGGCUUUACAUUAAUAUUCUUGAGUAAAAGCCCCAAUUUAUGCAAUGUUUUGGGCUUUACUUGACACGUCCCAACCCCGAUAUCCCCACAUACCAGGGUAGGCAUGUGCUGGCCGACAUCCGAGGGUGACGAAGCCAUUUUAAACAUGCAUGCAAAAACAAGAAUAUGCAAUUAGAACGAAAAAUGUCAUUGCAAGAACGUGUUCAGAGCAUACAACUACUAAGAAUAAUAUGGAAGAAUUACUAAGAAAAGAUAUGAACAAGGAAAUGAGACCUAUACUGAGAAGACUUGAGGAUACCUAUGCCAAAAUGCCCUGACGCCGAGAUCAUGUGCCUCGAUCCUAACUCCUGAGGGGGGCGCAAACAAAAAAGGUGAGUGGACCAAAGUUUAUAAUAAUAAUACUAAUAGUAGGAAAACAUUUUAUUUUUGAAUAUAAUAACCCUCUAUUUUGAAAACAUAUAUAUAAUACCACGUAGUAGGUUUUAUAAAAACCCUAGCAUGCCAUGUAAAACAUUCGUAAAACAUGUAUGUUAAACCAGUGCUGUGAAAUGGUAAUAACACCCGAAGGCAAAUCUGUAAAUCUCAUUAGUGAGGUACGCAACUAGGGAUAUCAUACUCGCCCGAAGGCAAUACUUGUCUAUCACCCAAAGGUGAAGCUAAAUAACUUGUCCAUCAUCCAAAGGGAUUUCAGACCAUCAUUUAAUGGAAUCCAAGUGGAUACGAUUCCAGACCAUCACUCGUCAGAAUUGCAGAUUAAAAGGAAUUUUGAACCAUCACUCAACGGAAUCCAAGUGGAUAUGAUUCUAGACCAUCGCUCAAUGGAAUCGCGGGUUAGAAAGGAUUUCGGGCCAUCACUCAAUGGAACCCUAAUGGAAACCCAGUUUCGGAUUAUUCAACGGAAUCGAGCGGAAGUCCAAGGAAUAUAGCAACGACUUGAAGAGACAAUACAAGAACUAAGUACUUAAUUUAGAAGGGCUAAACAAAAUGAAAGUGAAAUAAGGAAACAAGAUGGGAAACAAGUUCUGUGUCGAUUCAAUGGUCGGAUCGUCAAUUCAUAUAAUAACCAAGUGGCGGUCGACUAGACGGUCAACUAUGAAACUAUAUUAAAAUAUUGGGAUUUCAUUAAAUGGAUGUCAUAGAUGGAAUCGGGUAUCAAAAUUAGCCUAGAAUGGUCAGGUGGGGUCUCGAUCCAUGCGCCGAUGCACGUGGUGGCUGAUCGCGCUAGACAUGCCGAAAAAUUCAGCUAUUUCAAAAAAAUUAGAAAAUUUUACAGGCAUGUAGAUCUCAAUAAGCAGAGUAAUUUUCAUACAUGAGUGAAGUCCAAUUCAGAUGGAAAGUGCUCUGAAUUUCCCUCGAUCAACCGAAACCCUAGAAUUUGGGUGUCCUCGAUUCGACCUCCAUAGUAGCUCCAACGCCUCCUCCACGGCUUGGGAUUUGUUCCUAAGGUUGAGGGGAGCCUUAUGGUGGUGGUGGUUAAUGGAGUUACCUUCGAAUUUGAUAGAUCGCCACCGUGAACCCCGUUGCACCCACCGUGAGGGUUUCACAAUUUGAAGGCGAAAAUCCAUUUAUUUUUGGGUGGAAUGGGUAGAGGGGGGCCAACGAGUGUUUCCCCAGGAGGUUGUUUGAUGUGGUUCGCCGAAAAAACCGACGGAAAACCAUAAGAAAUGGCUACCUGAACUGGGUCGGGUCACUCACGAAAAUGGGUCAAAGGGGGGAUCUGAUUCCCUCAUUCUCUCCUCACUCCUUUCCCCUUCUUGCUCUCCUCCCCCUCAUUUUCUGAAACUUCUAACAUCCAUAACGUCUCCUUUCUCGUCCCAAUUCAUGAACGGCCUUCACCUAUCCGCUCGUGGGGUUGACCUCAAUUAGAAAACUUUAAGAGUGAUCCAAAAGUCUAUGGAUUUUAAAUGAUUAUUUUCAAAAAUUAAAACUUUGUAAUUAAGUAAUUAAAAUAUAAAAUUAAUUUAAAUUCGCGAAAAUACUAUAAAAUCCUGCGAAUACAAAAUAUCUAAAUUACAAUAGUGAAAUUCAGGAACGGAAUUUCACAUUACCUCGGAUGUUCUCGUUGUUAAUCCAAUCAUUUUGACACCCCAACCCCAAUAACACAAGUUACGAGGUCGAGAUAUCUUGGCCGUCACUAAAUUGACCAUAUGGCCCCUUUCAGGGAUGACUUCAGAAGCCAACUUAAUAACGAAGCCAUAGUAAGAUAAUUACGAUGUGCGUGAAUUUGAAUCAAAACAUUCAUUAAUAAUAAAUCAAAAGUUGCUACAAAUUUUCCUAAUCAACCUUCCCUCUUGGGAACAUAUAUUUAGGGUUUAGAUCCCAUUAUUACAUCAUAUCAGAGCAGCUAGAAGUUUCAUACAACAAUAAACACAUAAAAGUGUAGUGCUAUGCAUAAUCAAGAGUGUGAUCAUGCAAAUAUUACUGACAAAAUAAAUAUGCAGUAGAGGAAUCAUCACCCAAAAUCCAAAGGAUGAUACCUCACUGCCAAGCCCACUUACCACCACUGAGGUUCUCAUGAUUCUUGCUAUGUCCUAAGGGGUCAAUGAACAAAGUAUGAGUGGAUCAAGUUCUAUCUCAUCAAAAUCAAUCGAAUAACCUCCAUUUUAAAAUCACCUGUUGUAGAAUUAUCAAAAAGACGGACUUAGGGCCCAUAUCCAACAAUAUUGAUAUAGUCCCAACUUGGUAAUUACUACCCGCACAAUCCGUCAAGUGUGAGGUUUUAUUACAAAAGGCCUCGGUGUUAGAUAGAGUGAAGAUAGGAUAUUUAAACUCUUCUCUACUUAGAGAUAUGGUUGAUGUGGGAUAUUUCAAUACCUAUAUAUAUAUAUAUAGUAAAAACUACAUACAUAAUAAUACUACCAUAAUAGUUGUCACAAUCAAUUCAUCUCGCACGUCAUAUCAAAGAAAGUAAGUCAUUCAUAAAAUCAAAGUAAUAGAAUAUGAUUUUAUCAAUAUCGUAGAUGAUUCUUAUAAUCAUGUAUAUGCACGUUGGUGCGACUUCGAUUCCAAUGAUCUCUUUGUUUAACAACUAAAUAUAUUUAUUUCAUAAACGCUAUAAUUUGUAUAUAUAAAAAAAUGAUUUGAUCAUAUUAAUUCUGCAUAGUCCCCUCAAGUUGGAUAGUAAAUGUCAUAAUUAAGGCUUUUUAGUCAAAAUGGAGUCAUUGAGAUUUGCCUAACUCAUCACCUUGGUCAUUGAGAUUCAAAAUCAAUAGAAGUGGUCCAUGAGAUAAUCCACCAUCAAUAAUUUUGGUCAUUCGGUGAAAAAUUGUGUUAAAUAAGAAUUAAAAUGAUAAAAUUACCCUCAACGUAAUAAACAAUAGGCCAACAUGAUUUGAGAAAAAUUGAGGGUAUUUUUAAAAUUUUAUCCUUAUUUUAUGGAGAUUUUUCACAGAAUGACGAAAAUGAUUGAUUAUGGACAAACUCAGGGACCAAUUCUAUCAAUUUCAAAUCUCAAGGACCAAAGCAAGGAGUUAUGUAAAUCUCAAUAACCAUUUUAACUAAAAAAUUAUUAUUCCUAAAUUCCUAAAGCCCUUGGGAAGAUAUCUGCCAAUUGUACCCGAGAAGAAAUGCAGGAAGGAGAAAUUUAUAAAGAAAAUGGAUACCUGCUCUUCGCUGCAAAAAACGACACUUAAAGGACAGUUUUCCCGAGUUUUUAACCGCCGUUUUUACCGUUUGCUGCAAAAACCAAAUACUCUCCCCUUGCGAGCUCCGUCGUCAAUUCCCUUCGCAAACUUUGAGUCCCUCUGAAAAAAUGAUUAGCUGAAAUUUGAAUUUUUCAAACUUUGUGUUUGGUUAUAUCUAACGAUCCCUAAUUCCAAAUUUAUGGUUUAGAUAUAUAAAAAAGAUAUCUCGGGUACUUCAUUGCUAUCCAUUAAGCUCCCCACUUUCAAGCAAAGCAAAAAAUUCUAAUUGAGUUGAGUUUUGAACAUGCAGAUUAGUUAGACAACUGAAUUACUAAUCUUUAUUAUUACUGCAACAAACACACAGAUUACACUAAAAGCUAGUGAAUCAUACACUUGCAGAUGACUUAUCCAAACACAAAGAUAAGACAUGAGUUUAUUAUUAUUGCUACAAACACACGGAUUACAGCGAAAUUCAAAAACUAAAAACAAGGAAAAAAGUAGUGAUGAAAACCAAUGCCACUUUCGCGGGGAACACGAUUGCAUUCGCACAUGCAACAAGCCUUUUAAACCCAUAGGUGACCCAAAUGGGACGAGUGAAGUCUCGUGAGGGUUUCCAGAGACGUUACCCACAAACAUCAUGCAUACUGAUAAUCAACAUCUGACUUGAAAGACUGAGUAGAUAUCCACCCCUCCAGCAUCAGGUGUUUUUUGGUUGAGGCGUAAUUCGAAUCUGUUUUCAAUGAACGGCCUGGUUAAGAGGUCGCUUUGCAAGUGACGUAAUCGGCAGCGUGUGAUUAGGUUGUUGCUGUCAGGUGGUCCGACAGGCUCGACCUUGAACAAUGUGCAAGCCCAAUUGUCUUUGGUUUCAUUUCGGUCAGCAGCUGCGGCCAGGACCAAUAGCCUGUUUUGGUCCACCCUUCUCAAGUAGUUGCCGUUGUAGGAGCAUUUGAUAUGCACAUAAUUCUUGUCGGCGUAGUCCUCAUUGUUUGGCUUCUCGGUGGUGAACUUUAUGAACCUGCUGUUUUCAUUGUCCUCGGAAAACUGGACAAUCUCAUUAAGGUCGCUUUCUGCAUCAAGUUGAUAGCGCAAAUACUUGUUGUUGAUAUCUGCUUUCAGCAGAAAAGGGCUUGGUAGUACAGGUGGAGCCAUAUCGUAUAGUGUAGUUGGGAUUGGGAUGGUCUCUC